rnacentral:misc_RNA from 1 species
CCAAACUUGGUCAUUUAGAGGAAGUAAAAGUCGUAACAAGGUUUUCGUAGGUGAACCUGCGGAAGGAUCAUUACUGAAGUCCAAGGGGGAGUGCUGGCCCUUUUCGGGCAUGUGCACCCUCCUACCCUUCAUCCACACACACCUGUGCACCUUUCGAGGCGAGUACUCCCAUGCCUGGAGCCGGACCUUUGAUGGUCCCGAGGACUCGCCUACUCUUUUUCACAAACUCUUAUGUAUGACCCGGAACGUAGUCGCGGCGUCGCCGCAAAACUUAUACACAACUUUCAACAACGGAUCUCUUGGUUCUCGCAUCGAUGAAGAACGCAGC